UACGUAGGCAGCGAGCGUUGUUCGGAAUUACUGGGCGUAAAGAGUGUGUAGGCGGUGUUCCCAGUCUGUUGUGAAAUCUCCCGGCUUAACUGGGAGGGUGCAGCGGAAACUAGAAUGCUAGAGGGUGGGAGAGGUAAGCGGAAUUCCGUGGUGUAGCGGUGAAAUGCGUAGAUAUCAGGAGGAACACCCGUAGCGAAGGCGGCACUCUGGGCCGGAACUGACGCUGAGGAGCGAAAGCGUGGGGAGCGAACAGG
rnacentral:rRNA from 1 species